UACGGGGGGUGCAAGCGUUAUUCGGAAUCAUUGGGCGUAAAGGGCGGGUAGGCGGUCUUUUAAGUCAGAUGUGAAAGCCCUCGGCUUAACCGAAGAAGUGCAAUUGAUAAUAAGAGACUUGAGUAUGGGAGAGGGAAGCGGAAUUCCUGGUGUAGCGGUGAAAUGCGUAGAUAUCAGGAGGAACACCGGUGGCGAAGGCGGCUUCCUGGACCAAUACUGACGCUGAGGCGCUAAGUCGUGGGGAGCAAACAGG
rnacentral:rRNA from 1 species